UAGGGAAUCUUCCGCAACGGGCGAAAGCUUGACGGAGCAACGCCGCGUGAGUGAUGAAGGUCUUCGGAUCGUAAAACUCUGUUAUUAGGGAAGAACAAAUGUGUAAGUAACUAUGCACGUCUUGACGGUACCUAAUCAGAAAGCCACGGCUAACUACGUGCCAGCAGCCGCGGUAAUACGUAGGUGGCAAGCGUUAUCCGGAAUUAUUGGGCGUAAAGCGCGCGUAGGCGGUUUUUUAAGUCUGAUGUGAAAGCCCACGGCUCAACCGUGGAGGGUCAUUGGAAACUGGAAAACUUGAGUGCAGAAGAGGAAAGUGGAAUUCCAUGUGUAGCGGUGAAAUGCGCAGAGAUAUGGAGGAACACCAGUGGCGAAGGCGACUUUCUGGUCUGUAACUGACGCUGAUGUGCGAAAGCGUGGGGAUCAAACAGG
rnacentral:rRNA from 1 species